rnacentral:rRNA from 1 species
UACGAAGGGGGCUAGCGUUGCUCGGAAUCACUGGACGUAAAGGGUGCGUAGGCGGGUCUUUAAGUCAGGGGUGAAAUCCUGGAGCUCAACUCCAGAACUGCCUUUGAUACUGAAGGUCUUGAGUUCGGGAGAGGUGAGUGGAACUGCGAGUGUAGAGGUGAAAUUCGUAGAUAUUCGCAAGAACACCAGUGGCGAAGGCGGCUCACUGGCCCGAUACUGACGCUGAGGCACGAAAGCGUGGGGAGCAAACAGG